GCUGGAACCGUUUUUCGUAGAGAUCAUUUGUCAGUGUCGGAAUCAGAUUCUGACAACAUGUCAAAUAUUAAAAUUUCUCAGAUUGAUAAUACUGUUAUGACACUCGGUGGUCGAAUAGCCAACGGACCGGCGGAUGCCACGCAUCUUGUAAUGACACGAGUAACAUUGGUUAGUGUUCGAUACUGCUUAUCUAGGAUAUGGAUUACUAAAAGUGUCGGUGCAUGGUUUUUCCUAUGUGAAGGAUGUGGAUGAUACCUUUUAGUGUAAACCGUACAAUGUUCUCGAAUCAACCAACCGGAAUUUUUCUUCAAUUCUCUUCAGGGAAAACAGCAUGUUCGGCCAAGAAGAUCCGGAAAACGAAGCUUGAGAAACCCGGAAUACAUCGUGAUUAUAAGUUGUACGGAAUGUCAAAUCUUUAUACAACCAUUUAUUGAAAAAAAAAUUGUAACAUGCAUACCUUGCUACUUCACUAAGCGUUUGUUUCGUAGUAUAUACAUUGAUGGCGGGCGAACGAAAGUAUUCUAAGUUAUUUACGUUCACUGAUCCUAUCAACAUAAAUGAAAUAAAAUGUUUAAAG